UCUUGCGGAAAGGCAUUCACUAUCGUUAGCAAAUCUAAUGGAACUUCAUAUUAGCAAUUUUUCGGACAGCACAGCUUCAGCGACUAGCGAUUUCAGAAAUUGUCACCUCAUUUACAGAGCACAGUCCAUCUUCAACGUCUAAUGCUAUAUCAGGAAAUUUAUCAGAUUUUCUUAAGAGGAAUGCAGGUUGGGAGUUUUAGCAGGGGCUACGUCUAGUGCUGAAGAGCUUGAUCUGUUGUGAUGUACAACAUAUUUGUUUUCAUUACAAAUCUAAUGGAACUUCAUCUUAGCAAUCAUUCAGACAGUACAGCUUCAGCGACAGGCAAUUUCAGUAAUUGUCACCUCAUUUAGAGAACACUGUCCAUCUUCUACGUCUAAUGCUAUAUCAGGAUUAUUGUCAGAUUUUCUAAAGAGGAAUGCAGGUUGUUUUGGAGAAGGAAUCUCUGUUUCGUUACUCAACAUAAAACAACAGCCAACAUAGAUGGUCUGUCCGUGGCAUCUUCUUGCACGCACAGUAGACCAAUUUGUAUGCAUUUCAAGGCUUCACGCGGAUGAUACAACUCCUUCAGUGAUGGAUCAACUAUCUCCAAUGCUUUGUCUUCUCUCCAUAAUUCCCACACCUGUGUUGUUCAUAUAAAUCAUUAGCAUACAAGAAAUGAGAGCAGGCAACAUCUAAAAUUGUGAACAUUGAAACUCAGCCAAGAGCACAAAAGGCUAUCUUAUAACUCACAUAUCCAAUCAAGGUCAAAGGAGGAUUCUGUUGAUAAAAUCUAUUGUUCUUCUUGCCACUAACAAUCUCUAGCAACAUGACCCCAAAACUGAAAACAUCUGAUUUUGCGGAAAAGUUUCCAAACACAGCAUAUUCUGGCGACAUAUAUCCACUGCAUCAGAAAAACAAUAGUAGUUUUAGUAUUCCUGGUAAUCAAGGAUAGUACUUUGUCACUCGGUCUUUGUUUUAGGCAAAGGUACUUACUAUGUUCCCACAACUCUCCUUGUCCUAUCUUCAGUUUGGUUGCCUUCAAAUAUUUUUGCCAUUCCAAAAUCUGAUAUUUUUGGGUUCAUCUCUGCAUCCAAUAGAAUGUUGCUGCAUUUUAAAUCCCUGUGAAUGAUUCUCAACCUGGAGUCUUGGUGAAGAUAUAAAAUCCCACGAGCUAUUCCAACAAUAAUAUCAAAGCGUUUUCGCCAAUCCAAUAACAAUCUUCUUGUUUCAUCUGUUGAAACAAUUAUUUUUCAGACAACUAGUGUAAAUCAGGGCAAUAAAAACAUAAAGAGACUUACGGAAAAGAAACGAGUCCAAGCUUUUGUUCGGCAAGUAUUCAUAGAUUAAGAUUUGUUCUCCAUCCUGAGUGCAAUAACCUAGAAGUUUCACCAGAUUCCUGUGUUGAAGCAUUGCAAUUACCAUAACUUCAUUUUUAAAUUCUUCUGUUCCUUGUCUUGAACUUCUAGAUAACCUUUUUAUUGCAACCUCCAGCCCAUUAGCUAGCAGACCCUAAAAUCAUGUUACAAGAUUAAGCCUCUGGACUAAUAUUAUGCAAAUUAGAGAGGCCAUUUAGUUUUUAGCUAAAUGCAAGAAACUCAACCUUAUAAACAGAGCCAAAACCACCUUGCCCGAGUUUGUUAGCUGGAGAGAAAUUGUUUGUGGCCGCCGUUAUGGUGCUGAGCUUGAAAUAUUUCAAUUCAGUAGAAGUGCUGUUUACCUGCAGUUCAGAACCUUUUUUGGCUCUCUUCUUGAACCACAAAUAAGCAAACACGCUAAUGAGAAACCACAAUAAUGCAAUUGAUGGUGCUAAAACGGCCUGCAUCGUUUUUUCACGAGAAUCAUUUGACUUCCUUUUAGUAUCAGCUGCAUGAGAAUGAUAUCAUUUUCUUCCACUGAAACAUUUGGAGACCACACAGGAAGCUUUUGGUCAUCGUUACCAUAGAGAACGAGGUUACCAUAUUGGUCUACAAAGAGAAAUCCUGAGGAACCAAUGGUUGGAUCGUUCCUGUUUGCAACCCACACCACAGUUGUUCUGGUACUUUAUGGUACCGAAUUCCAAGAUAUCUAUUGCUAGAACUACCUGGACUGAAAAAUCCUAGUGCAAAAUUAUUUCCUUUGGAGAUAAGAACGUCACCUUCUUUAAUGGUUUGGUUCGUCUUUAAGGAGUCUAGGGAUGUACAAGAUAAGAAAUGGAGCAUUAAAAGAGAAAAAAGCAGGAACAGUUUUUCAGCUUCCAUGAUGGAGUAAAGUGGAUCUUGGCUUUUGGAAAGUGUCAAAUUUUGCUUUGUGGAGAAUGGAUAUGGCCUUCAGAGUUAUUAAACCCGGCCCGGGAGUUGACCCGGCCAAGUGGCCGGGUCCCGGGUUUCAUGGGUCAACCCGGGUCAACUCGGGUCAACCCGGAUUAACCCGGAAAAAUUAAAAAAAAAUUAAAGUUUUAAUAUUUCAUAUGAAAAAAUUCAUGUAAAUAUAGAUUAUACAUAUUAUAAAGUUUAAAAGAAUAUUUUAAAAAGUUUUUUAUCCUACAUUAAAAAGAUAUUAUGUUAAGCUUUUAAGUUAAAGUAUUUAAACUAAAAAAGUUUUUUAUCCCACAUUUAAAAAACAUAACUUUUUUCUUGGAAACAUAGAGUAUAUAUACUAAUGAGUUUCAAAUCCCACAUUGAAAAGAUAAUAUAUUAUCCUUUUAAGUGGAAGUAUUUAAACCAAAAGGUUUUUUAUCCCACAUUGAAAAAACAUGAUUUUUUUCUUGGGAACAUAGAGUAUAUAUACUAAUGGGUUUCAAAUCCCACGUUGAAAAAACAUGGUUUUUUUCAUGGGAACAUAGAGUAUAUAUAUAAAAGGCCUUCAAAUCCCACAUUGAAAAGAUACCAUGUUAUCCUUUUAAGUUGAAGUAUUUAAACAAAAGGUUUUUUAUCCCACAUUGAAAAAACAUGGUUUUUUUCAUGGGAACAUAGUGUAUAAAUAUGAAAGGGUUUCAAAUCCCACAUUGAAAAGAUACUAUGUUAUGCUUUUAAGUUGAAGUAUUUAAACCAAAAGGUUUUUUAUCCCACAUUGAAAAAACAUGGUUUUUUUCAUGGAAACAUAGAGUAUAUAUACUAAUGGGUUUCAAAUCUCACAUUUGAAAAAAAAAAAAAACAAAAAACAAAAAAAAUCGGGUCUCGUCCGGGUUCGCCCGGGUCACCCGGGUUCCGGGUCGACCCGCCGGGUCGCCCGGGUUUGGCCGGGCUGUUGCCACAGCCGGUCUUUUAUUAAACCCGGACCGGUCCAGCCACCGGGCCGGGCCGGGUUUAAUAACUGUGCUUCAGACAAGUCUCCAGAGAAGUUGCGUGACGGAAUUAGGCGUCUCUUUAAUGAGUUACUCUUUUCAACCUUCAAAGUCUAGACAAUGACUUGUUUUUGUUAAAGUAUCAAUCCAGGAUUUUUGGAAACGACACCGUCCUCUAGUUUUAGAAAUAUGUAGGUGAUUGCAUACGCAUAUAAAAACAACAUAAAAAAGACAAUAAACACAAAGAAAGAUGGAAUUGCGUCGAAAAAGACAAAAUCAUUCAAACUUUUAUUACUCAAAAAUUUUCUAAUUAAAUUUAAAUAUUAAAGCUCUUCUAAAUUAUUAUAUACUAGGAAAAACACCCUGAACAAAGCUUAAAAAUUAAUAAAAUAUUUCUAAAGUAAAUAAAAAAAUAAUCUAAAUUAACUUGAAAAAUAUGAUAUUUUCAAAAUAGUAAUUUCUAGUACUGGUUUGGAGGCCUUAACUUCAUAAAUAAGACCUUUAGGAAUAUUGCCUCUAGAAUCAAAAUUUAUGUCCAUUAUCAUAAGGUCAUGCGUUGGAUGAAAAUCUUCUACAUCAGUCUCUUUAUGUUGAAAAUAACUUGUUUUCAAGUUCAAAUUAUUCUUGUUUUGAUAUCGUGAAUGCUUAAUCAAAGCUCUCAACCUCUUUUCCUUUCUUUUCUUAAGGUAUAUAACAAUACUAGAUAUUGGCUUUAGUUCUUUAUCAACAUAUGUUGUAUCUAUAUAAUCCUUGAACAAUUCUAUCUUUGUGAUAAUAGUAAACUUGUAAUCAAAAGGAUCAACAUAAUCUAAAUCAAUAAUUUAAUUUUAUUGGUCAUCUUCGGUAUUCUAUUUACACUUAAUUUCUACCUUAUCAAUAUGAACACCAUUGAUGACAUUAUUGCUCCUUUGCUGUCAUUGUUUAUGUUAUUAUUAUUAUCAUAAGUGUGGCUAGGUGAUCACACACAUAUAUAAAAGUUUAGUUUUCUUUGUUAUUUUUUUCACUUGGAUCGUUUUUGUUUUUGAGUUUUUUAGAUCUUGAUUAUGGUUCUUGAGAAAUAAUUAGAGUUGUCAGUGUUACGCAAAAAAAUAUGGAAGGAUUUGAUCUUCCAUGUGUUUGGUCUGAUAAAUCCAAGCUAUGUGGUUUUUACUUUGUUGAUUCAGCUUUCUAACUUCUUCUUCUUCUUUUUUAUGUUUCAUGUGUUAUGUUGUUGAUUCCUCUUUUUGCUGGAUGAUCUUAUGAGGUUUUUGAAUACUGUAAGGAUCUCUUGCUUUCUCAAUUUACUGUAUUUUGCUGCACUCUACAUCUAUAUUGAGUUUGAGCAUAGCCAGUGUUGUUAUCUAUUUUGGAACCUCACAUAAACAUAAAAAAAAUAAAAAAAAUAAAAAAAUAUACAUCAGUAGGAAGAACAUGAAGAAUGUCCAGAAAAUUGCCAACUAGUUGGGAAGAAUCAAAAUACCCAAAGUUGAAAAAUUGAUAGUUCAAUUUUGACUCAUGAAGGCCCUAUUAACAAGAAAAAUUCAAUUUGGAAAGAAAAAUUCAAAAUUAGAUGUUUAAUAACUCAAUUGAAAUUUUUCAAGGUUUAAUUGUAUUUAUUGAGGGAUUGAUUGCAAGGAAAAUUGGUUUUUAAGUUCAAUUUGAACUUUAAUGGGAAGAAAUUGAAGUCUGGGGGUUGAAUUGUAAUUUUAAAAGGCUAAUUUAGUUAGCUAAAAACAUGGCAUUGUAUUAUUAAUAUGAUGCGGUGGAUGGAGUGAUGGUGCACCCUUCCGAUGGUGAAGCCUGAAAACAUUUUAAUAUGAUGCAUCCUUAGUUUUCAAUGGAAUCAAGGAACAUGCAUCUAGGGUUAUGUACAGACGGAUUCAAUCCAUUUGGAUCAUUUGUUGCUCUUUAUUCUUGUUGGCCAAUAAUACUCACAGUUUACAAAUUAUCAUUGGGCAUGUGUAUGAGGUCGGAGUUCAUGUUUUUAUCAACGGUCAUACCAAGUCAUAAUAGUCUGAGUUAGAAUAUAGAUGUUUGUCUUUGGUGGUGAUUCAUAAGGAUUUCAGGCCUCCGUACAUGUCAGAGGCCAUGUGGGCGGAAUAUAUUCAGCAUGUGAUGUUUGAUCGUUACGUGCGACAAUCAUACUCCGGUUCAGAGAACCAGAACUAGAAAGUUCAUGGUUUUGUUAUCACACACACCAGCAGCUCCAUUCGAUUCGUUUCGCAUGCAAAACGAAUGGUUAGAUUAGUCUCUCUAACACUACAACCCAGUUCUUGCGAAUAGCCCGUAAUUUUUCAAACCAUUAGAUAUUUGUAAUCAGUUUCGAGCACUCAUACUCUAGAGUUCGAGAUGAUUUUAGACCAGCGAAUUAAAGAUUAGACGACCCAUCUUGUUGCUGAUUAUGAAUGACUACUUAGUGUUGAGAUAACCAAACUUCACCAAUUCGUAUUGGAGAUGAGAUCACAUAUGAGUGGUACUUGUGCUCCCUCUUAUUCGCCCCACAGUUUAGGCAAAGAUCUGCCUUCUCCUCCUCCUCCAGCACUUCUAUUCUAGAUGAAUUGUAUUUGAACUUAUAAAUGUUUAAAUUUGUAAUAAAUAUUUGAUUUUAUAUUAGUUUAAUUUUUUAAAUACUUUUUGUUUCUGCUUAAUAGAUUUUUUUUAAAUAUAUUUUUGAAUUAUUAAUGACAGGGUUACAAACGGACAUAGUUUGUCGGUAUAUUUUAAAAAGUUGAAAAAUAAUUACUGCAAAUAUCACUGUCAUUGUUUACUGACCGACAAAAUAACAUACAAUAUGUUUGACAAUUACAAGUUAAAUUUACCGAUGGACAUACUGACAGUUGAAAAAAAUCAUCAAUGCAAUGACAUGUGGUUUUUCUGUUAGUGAUAUGUUAUAUUCAAUGUUGGAAAUACUGAUGAAAUGAAGCAGGUAAAGUUUUUUUUUUUGCAUGCUUUGUACAUUAUUAAAUGUAUCUGUAAAAUUAUUACCGAUAGAUCACAAAUCAUUAAUGAGAGUUUUUUCGAUGGAAGAUUUUUGUCUGUGAUCAUGUCGUUAAGGACAUGAAGCAAAGAGUGAACUUCUUCCUAAUAAACACGUGACUUGGGACGGCAUAACAAAUAGAGAUUAGAGAGUCUUGUCGUACCUUAUUUUGCCCUCUUCUUGAGCCACAAAUAAGCAGUUAACAUUUGAUGCAAUUGAUGGUACUAAAAUGGCCAGCAUCGUUUUUUCAAGAGAAACAUUUGACUUCCUUGUAUUAUUAGCUGCAUGAGAGUGAAAAGAAUAAAGAUUCAACUCCAGAGGAAAAACAACAAUACAGAUCUUAUUAACAUUUGACUUUCUCCAAUGGAAACAUGACAAUACAAUUGCAAAGGCUGGCCCCUUCGGCACCUAACAAGUAUCAAUAUCAAUGGUUUCUUUCAUGAAGUACAGAGCUUAUUAACUACAUCCUAGAGCAGUGGCAAACAUUGAAAAGCUUUUAUAAAACAAUAUUUGAAAUGAAAAUUCUAAGAAAUUGGUACUGAGCAGAAAAAGGGCACCUAAUUCAUAUGCAUCAACACGAACAUAUAGAUCAUAAAUUUCACUCCUUUCAUAUCUGAUGUCUACUAAUUCCUUGUACCAUGUCAAACUGUUGAUAAUAGGUAUAUAAAGAACUGAAUGUUGAUGAUAACCAGAAAAACAAAGAACAAAGAACUUGCAACAAAUUAAGAACAAAGAGCAGAAUGUUUUUCAUAUUGGUUACUGCCAUCCCUUAGCUUUUAUUUAUAGAUGAAAUCAAUCACAACACAAUUAAGAAACAUAAUUAACAUAAACUUCUUCAUUUAUGGAGCUAUGUAACUUAUCCUAAAUAAGUUUCAUAUCUAAAGGUAAAAACUCACUAAACAACAUUAAGAUAAUGAUGUUACUAAUAGAUAAACAUUAAUGAAAGAUAACAUAUGGCUGAGACAUUAAUUUCAGCUUUGGUGCCAUAACUUCAACACUCCUCCUUGGUUCCAAAGCUGCACAUUCCUAUCAUCUCCCUUAGAUCUUCAAAUCUAUCUUUAGCUAAAAGCUUGGUGAACAGGUCUGCUAAUUGCUCUUUUGAAGUGCAGUAUAUCAUCUCUAGUUCCCCUUCAUGCUGGAAUUGCCUGAUAGCAUGGAACUUGAUCUUCAUAUGCUUGGUCCUGUCAUGAAAAACAGAAUUCUUUGAAAUAGCUAUUGCUAAUGUAUUGUCACAGAACAAUUCUGUGGGACUUCGUUGAUCAAAGUCUAGAUCAUUCAGCAUUUUCCUUAGCCAUAACAAUUGCUUUGUUGCCACAUAUGCUGCUAUGUAUUCUGUCUAUUCAGUAGAAUGUGCAACCACUGAUUGCUUCUUUGAGUUCCAACAGAAAAUGCUUCCUCCAAUAGCAAAGCAAUAACCUGAGGUGCUCAUCAUUUCUUCAUCACUUCCAGCCCAAUCACUAUCAGAAAAACCAACAAGUUUAACAGAACUUGAUUUCACAAAAUGCAUGCCAAACUCUAAGGUCCCUUUCAGAUAUCUCAGAACUCUCUUGGCAGCAACAAAAUGGAUUUGACUUGGACUUUGCAUGAACCUAGAGAGGUAAUUGAUAGCAAAAACAAUGUCUGGACGUGCAGUAGUUAAAUACAACAAGCUGCCAACUAAACUUCUGUAGGCUUUUCCAUCAGUUUUGGGAGCUCCAUCCUCCUUCAUUAACUUUUGUCCCAGUACCAUAGGUGUACUGACUGGUUUGCAAUUUUCCAUUGCAAAUUUGUUUAGUAGCUUCGUUGUAAACCUCUUUUGACAUAGGAAAUAACCUUGCUCCGACUGAGUUACUUCCAUGCCUAAGAAGUAUGACAGCAAACCAAGUUCAUUCAUCUCAAACUUAUCCUUCAUGUUGGUUUUAAACUCCUCUACCAGCUGCUCCUUGUCUCCUGCAAUCAAUAAAUCAUCUACAUACACUGAUACGAUCAGAGUAUGUUUGUCAACAUUUUUCACAUACAAAGUUACUUCAUUCAUGCUUCUUUCAAAGCCUAAACUCAAAAGAUACCCAUCCAAUCUGCUGUACCAGGCUUUAGGAGCCUGUUUAAGUCCAUACAAAGCCUUCUUUAGCAAAUAUACUUUGUUUGAUGUGAUCUCCUUUUCAAAGCCAUCAGUUUGUUCAACAUAUAUUUCUUCAUUUAGAACACCAUUCAGAAAUGCAGACUUAACAUCCAACUGAAAAAUAUGCCAACCAUUUUGUGCUGCUAGAGCAAGCAAGAGUUUUAUUGUAUCAAGCCUAAAUACUGGAGCAAAUGUCUCAGUGAAGUCAAUACCUGGCUCUUGUGAAUAACCCUUCACUACAAGUCUUGCUUUGUGCUUGUUGAUACUCCCAUCUGCAUUCAGUUUGGUUUUGAAAAUCCAUUUCACACUAAUUACCUUCUUGUGAACGGGUCUGUCAACCAACAUCCAUGUUUCAUUCUUUUCUAUCAUCAUGAGCUCCUCCUUCAUUGCAGCUAUCCAUACUUGUGAGUUAAUAGCUUCUUCAAAAUCUAUUGGUUCUGCUUCAGCAACAUUGCACCUGCUGUAAAUCUCAGCUAAGGACCUUGUCUCCCUUACUGGUUUGUCAUUGACAGUAUCAUCAUCCUCUAUAGCAUCCAAUUUAAUUUGAUACUCUUGUUUUGUCUCUUCAAUUGAUGCAGCUUCCCAGUUCCAUGUACCAUUCUCUACAACUUUUACAUCUCUAGCAAUCACAACUUUAUUAGAUUUCAUAUCAUAGAUUUUAUAAGCCUUAGAUUUUGUGCUAUAGCCUAUAAGAAUUCCCAUAUCAGCCUUUUGAUCAAGUUUUCUUCUCUUUACUUCAGGUUGCAAGACAUAGCAAGGGCUGCCAAAAACUUUUAAAUGAUCAACAUUGGGUUUAAAGCCAUACCAUAUUUCAUAAGGAGUCUUAUCUCCUAACACUCUUGUGGUCAUAUGAUUUAGAAGGUAAGAUGUUGUGUUUACUGCUUCUGCCUAGAAUUUUAAUGGCAUUUUCUUCUCAUAUAGCAAACAUCUUGCCAUUUCCAUCAAUGUUCGGUUUCUCCUCUCACUGACUCCAUUCUGUUGUGGAGUGUAGGGAACUGUCAAUUGGUGUUUGAUCCCUUCUUUUGCCAAGUAUGCCUCAAAUUGUCGAGAGGUAUACUCUCCUCCAUUGUCAGAUCUCCAUAUCUUCAAUCUAUUUCUUGUUUCUACUUCAACUGCUGCUUUGAACUUAACAAACUCAGCAAACACAUCAGAUUUUGAUUUCAGAAAGUAAACCCAGCAGUACCUACUAUAAUCAUCAACAAAUAGAAGAAAAUACUUUGAACCAUUCAAUGAUUCAUUAUGCAUCGGCCCACACACAUCUGUGUGUACAAGGUGGAGUUUUGACAGUGCUCUAUAUGCAUUGUCAGGAAAAACAACUCUAGUUUGUUUUCCUAACUAACAGGCUUCAUAAAUACUCUUUUGUUCCUGUAUAUCUGGUAAACUGUGAGUCAUCUACAGGUCAGCCAUUCUCUUUAAAGUUGCAUAAUUGAAGUGCCCCAACCGUUUGUGCCAAAGAACAGAUUCAUUGUUCUCAUAAGUGUUAGCACUCAAACAUACUUCUCUCCAAUCAACAUUAAAACUUCUGUUCAUCAUUUUUGCAGAAAGCAGUAGCACUCCAUUUUUAUCGUUAAUAUCACAUACUCCAUCAUUAAAGAUUAUUGAGUAACCAUAUUCAAUUAAUUGUCCCACACUAACUAGAUUCUGAUUGAUCUUAGGUACAUAAAGAAUAUUUUUAAGAGUUUUUGUACCUGACAAUGUUUCUACUUCAAUUGCUCUUUUUCCUUCAACCUUCACAUAGUCUCCAUUGCCAAUUCUGACUCUAGAUAGAUAGCUUUUAUCCAAGUCUCUGAAUAAGCUCAAAUCUGCUGUCAUAUGGUUAGUGCAGCCACUAUCAUUGAGCCAUGAUGAGUCGUUUGCCUUUGCUGUGUUACACAUCUCCUGUAUUGUAGCCAUGAAUAAAAGAUCUUUCUUAACUUUUGAACAAUCGGCUACUUGAGCUUGUUUUACUGUUCCUGCUUUAUUUUUGCAGAAUCUUUGAAUGUGACCAAAUUGCUUGCAGUUUCGGCAUUGUGCAUUCUUGAGCCAACACCAGGCUUCAAGAUGAUUUGUUUUCUGACAGAAUUUGCAAGCAGGAAAAUGUUCUUUCUUCUCUUUCCCUCUAGUGAAGUUGUUGUUGUUCUGUUGCCAGUUAUUGGAUUGCCAGCCUUUCCCUUUUUUCUCUUUUUCCUUCUUGAUUGUUUUUGUAAAAAUUCUUAGCCCGACUCUUCUCCUUGUAAACUGCAACAAGAGCUCCUUCACUUGAUCCUUCUUGUCUAUAAGCUUGCCUUUGCUCCACAGCUUGCAAUGCAUUUACCAGUUCUUGCAGGCUCAUUUCAGAGAAAUCUUUAGAAUCUUCUAAAGAGCAAAUUUUAUGUUCAAAUUUUUCUGGUAGACUUACCAGAACUUUCUCUACUAUUCUUGAAUAUGAAAAAUCUUCUCCCAAAAGUCUCACUUGAUUCACAAGUUUUGAAAUUUGAGAAGAGAAGUCUUUGAUGGUUUCAUUUUCUUUCAUCUUUAAACCUUCAAACUAUCUUCUAAGAUUUAAAAUCUGCAUCUUCCAUGACUUCUCAUCACCAUGAAAUUCUGCUUUUAAUUUAUCCCAUGUUUCUUUGGCAGAUUUACACGCCAUGAUCCUUGUGAAAAUGUCUUCACUAACAGCAUUAUGAAGACAGGUAAGAGCUUUGAAUUGCUUUGCCUUUUCUUCAUUAAAAAAUUUCAUCUGUGCAAUCGUAGGAUUGUUUCCUAGUGGAAUUGGUUGCUUAUCGCUCUCCGCUAUCUCCCACAAGUCAAAAACUUUGAGAUAAGUUUCCAUUUUCACAGCCCACACACCAAAAUUCUACCCUGUGAACACUGGUGUUUUUGCUUGAAAAUUUACAGAAUCCAUUUCUUAAAAAAAAAUCACUUAAUCUCCCGUGUUUCACUCACAAUCCCUUCAAAGAAAAAUGCUUUGAUUUAACCUCACUAAUCUCUCGUGUUUCACUCACAAUCCCUUCAAAGAUCAAAGAAUGCUCUGAUACCAAUUGUUGAUAAUAGGUAUAUAAAGAACUGAAUGUUGAUGAUAACCAGAAAAACAAAAAACAAAGAACUUGCAACAAAGAACAAAGAGCAUAAUGUUUUUCAUAUUGGUUACUGCCAUCCCUUAGCUUUUAUUUAUAGAUGAAAUCAAUCACAACACAAUUAAGAAACAUAACUAAUAUAAACUUCUUCAUUUAUGGAGUUAUGUAACUUAUCCCUAAUAAGUUUCAUAUCUAAAGAAAGUAAAACUCACUGCAACACAUUAAAGAUAUGAUGUUACUAAUAGAUAAANNNNNNNNNNNNNNNNNNNNNNNNNNNNNNNNNNNNNNNNNNNNNNNNNNNNNNNNNNNNNNNNNNNNNNNNNNNNNNNNNNNNNNNNNNNNNNNNNNNNGGUGCCAUAACUUCAACACAACAACCAUCCCUUUUCCAGGAAUUCCCAAUGAUUGCGUUAUGCAGAGCAUGAACAAUUCCUCUUGCAUUCCAGUUCACAGGCUGCACGACUCUUGCUCUUGUCCAUUCAAGCUGCAGACGAAGUGUCCGGAAGACUGUAAUUCUCUAUCUUCACAAACCCUUCUCCAUGAUCGCACAACGAAGACGUCUGUAGCCGCUUCCUGACACAACCACCAGAUCCAUCUCUCGUAGACCAUUCCUUUGGGUACUUGGGCUCGAACCCAGGUAAACAGGCACAUCCAAAUCUAUUAUGAUUAGUAAGUUCACACGUACUAUCAGCACCACACAGUCCCUAAUAGUCGUCGCACUGAAACAGUGGGGUCUUCCAGUAAUCCUUCCACUGACCAUCACUUUCUCGCCAUGUUAACGCCUUUACAAGUCCUGGAUGAUCCACUAUUAUUCUUAGCAGAUAAGAAUCAUCAGGAACUGUGUAGACAAAGUACUUUUCGUCUGGAUCAUUUACAAAAGUGCUUUUGUAUAAGCCCAUCUGACUUCUCCAUGGCCAAGGGGGAGAUCUACUAAUUGGCUUUUUACCAUUAUAGAAAAAGAAUUGUGGCGAGCCUUUUGGGUUGAUCCUAACUGAAAAGUCCCUGAACCCAGGGUCUUCAGCUGAUCUCCAUGAUGUUAGGAACCGAUCAAUUCCUAAUUUUCGAUCCAGCCCCAGUUUCAUUCCAGGAAGCAGGAUGUUCGUAGGAUAAUCGAAGCUUUGCCAUACAGUUUUCCUGCUUCUUUUCCUGACCAAAAUCAAAUUUCCUGAAUCCAAGAGUUGGAGACACACAGGAAGCUUUGGGAGAACCACACAGGGAAAGGAGACCACACAGGAAGCUUUUGGUCAUCUUUCCCAUGGAGAACGGUUAAUAAAGAGAAAACCCAGAGAGAGAAAUCCAGAGGAACCAAUGAUUGGAUCGUUCCUGUUUGCAACCCACACCACAGUUUGUUCUGGUAUUUUAUGGUACCAAAUUCCAAGAUAUCUAUUGCUAAAACUGCCAGGACUGAAAAAUCCUAGUGCGAAAUAUUUUCUUGAGAUAAGAAGGUCACCUGUUUACUGUUUGGUUCGUCUUUAAGGAGUCUUGGGAUGUAGAAGAUGAGAAAUGGAGCAUUAUAAGAGAAAAAAGCAGGAGCAGUUUUUCAGCUUCCAUGAUGGGGCAAACUGGACCUUGGCUUUUGGACAAGUGAAUUGUUGCUUUGUGGAGAAAGGAGAUGGUCUUCAGACAAGUGUGGGACCAUUAGAGAAGCAGCGUGAAAAAAAUGGUUUUUUUUUUGUUUAUAGUGGUAAUGAUUUUAAAAAUAAAAAGUUAAAUGUAUUAAAAUAAUUUUUUUUUUUUAAUAUUAACUUAUUAAAGUAAUACAAAAAUAUAAAAAAAUUAAUUUUAAAUUAAUUUUUUUAAUUUUUGCAAAUCUUCAUUUAGACCACACUCCCAUGUUAUCAUAUAAUCGUGUCCUUUGUAUUCUAUAUUCGCUAGAAGGCAACUCAACUUUUUUUUCUUUUUAUGUUUGAUUUUAAUUUAUAAUAAACUAAUUUGAUAUAAUAUAUAUUAUGGUGAUAUCUAAGAUUUCGGAUGAUUAUUUAAGACAUGAGUUCUCUAAAUACCUCAAAUUUACUAGAUUAAUGAUAUUAUUGAAGAUGAUGGUUUUUCAAUUAAGAAAGAAUAUUAAUUUGGUGAAAUUGGCCAUAUUGUGAUGCAAAGAUAUUGUGAAUAUCACAAUACAUGACUUUAUUCUUAGUUUAUUGUGCAUGUUAUGAGAUAAAUUGAAAUUGAUUUGUCCUCCAAAAUCAUAAAUCAUAUAAUUGAGAUAGUAAAAUUCAAAAAAAAAAAAAAUACUUUGUUGUUACUAAUCUUAAAAAGGGAAAGAAUUGAUACAAUGGCGGACAUCAUAAGUUUUAAAUCCAUAAAACAACUAUUUUUUUUUUGUAUUUAAUUUUUUCAAUUUUAUUCAUCUAGUCGAAUUGAUAGUAAUUUUCAAUUUUUUUUAUUUAAUUUUUUCAAUCAUUAUUCAUCUAGUUGAAUUGAUUUUUUUUAAUUAAAGUAACUAUCCAUAAAAGAAUAGUUGACGAACACCACACCUAUAGCAUAACAUAUGAUGAUGCUGUUAGGUUUCUUCCUUGACACUAGGCAGAAUGGAUCAGUUGUUUAGAAUCAGGCUGGGAGUUUUAGCAGUGCUGAAGAGCUUGAUCUGUUGUGAUGUGCAGCAUAUUUGUUUUCAUUACAAAUCUAAUGGAACUUCAUAUUAGCAAUUUUUCAGACAGCACAGCUUCAGCGACAAGCAAUUUCAGAAAUUGUAACCUCAUUUAGAGAACACUGUCCAUCUUCAACGCCUAAUGCUAUAUCAGGAUUAUUGUCAGAUUUUCUGAAGAGGAAUGCAGGUUGUUUUGGAGAAGGAAUCUCUGUUUCACUACUCAACAUAAAAACAACCGCCAACAUAGAUGGUCUGUCCGUGGCAUCUUCUUGCACGCACAGCAGACCAAUCUGCACGCAUUUCAAAGCUUCACGCGGAUCAUACAACUCCGUCAGUGAUG
rnacentral:lncRNA from 1 species